rnacentral:lncRNA from 1 species
UAGAAUCAGAUGUGAGCUGCGAGCAAAUUUAACCAAAGCCAUUGUGUCAAAAUAAAGGUUAUUUCCGAAGGAAAUUUUUUCACGACGUUUUUACGAUCAUUUUCCGCUUUUCGACGGUUUGUUGAUAAUAGCAAUGUCAAAUUCAACAAAUUUUUCAAAACGUGACGUCCGACAUUUUUGCUGUCUUGAAAAUUUUCUUCCCCCCCCCCCCGGUAAAUUCCUUAAAAAGGAUUGACAGCUACUUUUUAAAAAAGUAGUCAAAAAUUACUCGCUAUUUGUAAAUUGUAGUUCGUUAGAGAAGCGAAACGUAAAACAUCACAGAACGGCGAACAUGCAGAUUCAGCCAUCUCAAAUAAUGGUAAUGUUGGGAUAGUAGCGUUGCAGACUGCAGAGGAGAGUGGGCAGUAAGGCUCCAUCAUGCACCACCCCAUGGAAAACCUGCACCCCUCCUUGCAGUUGAGGCUAAAUCCGCCCCUGCAAGUGGGACCUACAGCCUAACUGGAAAGUUCAAAUCACGGGCAGAUCUGGCCUGAUUAGUUAGAGGGGUGGAGGUUUUCCACAGUUGGUCCGGGGGCAUCUCCCCCCAAAAAUUUUUGAAAUUUGAAGCCCUUAAAUGCCAUUUCCUGCAUUCUGAGCACUACGUUUAUUCGUUAAAUUUGUCCUCACAGUACUUGUAUUUCGGGCAAAAAUUAAGAAAAGUGUGACGUUAUAUGGCGACCCGCCGUAUUGGUGCUUGAAUAUUUUCUCGCGUAUUCGAAAAUCAAU